rnacentral:rRNA from 1 species
AUUGAACGCUGGCGGCAGGCCUAACACAUGCAAGUCGAGCGAGCGGCGGACGGGUGAGUAAUGUAUGGGGACUGCCCGAUAGAGGGGGAUAACUACAGGAAACGGGAGCGAAUACCGCAUACUAUCGGAUAACCCAUAUGGGAUUAGCUAGUAGGUGAGGUAAUGGCUCACCUAGGCGACGAUCCCUAGCUGGUCUGAGAGGAUGAUCAGCCACACUGGGACGGAGACACGGCCCAGACUCCUACGGAGGCAGCAGUGGGGAAUAUUGCACAAGGGGCGAAAGCCUGAUGCAGCCAUGCCGCGUGUAUGAAGAAGGCCCUAGGGUUGUAAAGUACUUUCAGUCGGGAGGCGUUACCGACAGAAGAAGCACCGGCUAACUCCGUGCCAGCCGCCGCGGUAAUAC